rnacentral:rRNA from 1 species
AUGAACUUUGUGCCCAUCUCCGAGCCACAACUUGACAAGUCUGCUAUCAUGUUUAGUAAAAACACCAAGAAUGAUGUUCGGAAAGCUAUGCUGGACCAACUGGGGCUCCCGGUGUAUGUGGGAGAGUCAAGAACAAAAGUCUUUGCGUAUAUGAAGGAUAUAAUUUGCCAACGUAUACAGGGAUGGAAGGAAAAGAUGCUAACCAAGGCCGUGAAGGAGGUUCUGAUAAAGGCAUGCGCCUAG